GAUAGCAGCAGAGAUGGAUCCGUUCGCAGAAAAAGAAAUAGCCGGAGAGAGUCCAAGCUCAAUGGAAAGUACCAUGCUGAAGCAUGAUCACAUAACCGAUAUUCUGAAUACCUCUUAUUGCUCUCUUCCAUAUUCUUUUGGUGAUAUACAUCUUCUUCUAGCAUAUAUAUAAAUGUUCAUCUGAAAAUGACCAGGACCUAACAUUGUUUUCGCAGUUUUGUAUACUGACCAAAUGGUUCGGGUCAUUUUUGAGUCAAAUUUGCAGACACGUUUAAUUAAAUGGGUUUGGUUUGGGUCUGGCAAAUGCGCAGGUUGACCAAUUUAUUUUUUUUAAACAAUAUUAAAAGAUGUUUUUAAUUAUGUAAUAACUUAAUACUAGGGGGGGCAAUCAUGACCCGAAUGAAUAAAUAUGGGUUGAUUUGGGUCUUUUUUUAAGUUACUAUGGGUCAAUUUGGGCUUUCUUUUAAUGAUUAACGGGUCCAUAUGGGUAAUUGUAAAACUUUAAAACAUAUUCACGGGUCACGUUGGGUUUGGAAGUGAGAAGAGACGGGUUGGAACGGGUUAGUAAGUUCAGGAGAAAAAAGAAACGGGUUCCUAGGGUUAGAAGAGUUCCUAGGGUUUUACCUUUUUUCUCAAGACACUUUUCUUUGCGUUCUCUCUGGAUCUGAUCUGAGUUUAUCAUUGUCACACCAAAUUGAUUCUAAGAAAAAGCUUACCAAACCGCCAAAUCAGAUACCUACACAUUUUCCUCUACUCUCGUCUCUUUUGCGUAUCUCUGUGUUCCAAUGGCCGGCACCAUAAACCCGGCGACAUAUCAAACGGCGGUGUUUCGAUGCUAUGCGGGAAGUCGUAAGGGAUCGACAGUGUGAUCGGUUAGUGUGUAAAUAAUUACUGAAUGGCCAACAAUUACAAACCCCAAACGGAUUGACAGAUGCGAGAGAUUGGGUGGAGCGAUUACUGAAUUGGAACCACAUGACUUAUGAAGUAUCGUCGCUCGUCGGAAGAAACGAAGUUCCUCUCUUUUUCAAUUAGUAUGUUUGAAUUUGAUUUGUAUUUAUUUGCUUUUUAUAUCUCUAAUUCUUUUUAAUCGGAACUCAGUUGAUUGCUUGUUUAUCCAAUUACUAUUCAACAUAUGUUAUAAUUUCAAUUUUUAUUUUGAUUAAGAAACUAAGGUUUUAUCAUAUAAAGAUUGUAAUACUGUUCUGUGCUGAAUCCAAUUUGUAAAACGACCCAAACCCAAUCUGCCCCGAAACCCGCAUACACUAUGUAUUGUAUAUGUUUCUGCUUGUAUACAUGUAUAUGAAGUGUUUGUGUGUCUAUACAUGUGCACGAAGAAGUGAAGAUGGAUCUACUGCUGCUACAAGCUUUUUUUUUCCUUUAAAAACUGUUGUUUAAACCGACCCAACCCGACCCGACCCGAAACCCGUUCAGACCCGAAACCCGUUCCAACCCGAACCCGUUCUGACCCGAACCUGUUUUGACCCUGACCCGUUUUGACCCGAACCAAAACAACCCUUUGUUUAAUUGACCCGUUUUGACCCGAACCCGGUUUGACCCGAACCCUUUUUGACCCAUGACCCGACCCGACCCAACCCGACCCGUUUGCCAGGUCUACUUAAUACACUCAGGCAAAUUUAUGCAAAACUUAAAAAAUUAAAACAGAAAUCAACGUCUUGCUUAUAUACAUUCAUACUCUUAUUGUAAAUUUGUAGUUGUAGAUCACUUAUAUGCAAAAGAUAAAAAUGGGUUGAAUGGGUUAUAUUUGUGUCAAGCAUGCACUCACUAAUGAAGAUCCUCAAUAUGUCCCAUAUAGUGUAGAUGAACCAUAUGGUCAAGUAUUAUGGAAUCCCGGGUUCGUAUAUUUUAAAAAAGAUUCAGUCUUUAUGCGUUUGAAAGAACAUUCAAAGACUAAACUCGUCGUAGGAGAUUGCAAUACGCUCUUUGUUAUGGUUUUAUAUUGUAUGUUUCUUAUAUAACUGAUCUUUUUUAUUCUAUUGCAGUUUAGAAGCACCACCAAGGCCAUAAUUUGUGUUGUUGAUUUGUGUGAUGUCUUGGUUUUUAUUCUAUUGCAGUUUAAAAGAUUCAGUCUUGCCUUGGCUUUGGGGACCUCAUCGCCUUGCGCCUUUUAAAACAUAGGAUGUGGAUGUCUUGGUCUUGAAAAGCGAGAGGCGCACAAAAGCGAUGAGGUCUAAAACCAAAGCGUGAGAUGCAAAAGCAGCAGGCUUUUAGUACCCGAGGCGCAAGCUAAUUAUAUAUAUUUUUAUAUAUCCCAUAGGUUUUUAGCUUUCCCUACCCAAAAUAUAGCUAUAAGUAAGGUUUUUGUAUAAUUUUAGCUGCAUGUACAAACCAAAAAACCCAAGGUACAACAGUUAGAUGCAUAAAAACGCCUCGGGUACGAGAUGCGCGCGCUUCAGGCCAAAAAAGCCAUAAAAAUUCCAAAAAAGCGCGCCUUUUUAGCGCUUCUUGUAAUUACUCUAGGCGCCGAGCGAAAAAGCCCCAGGGUGUGCCCCUUGUUGCGUCUCGCGCUUAAGCGUGCCUCAGGCGCACUUUUCAAAACCAAGGUGGAUGUGGCUAACCAAAUGUAGCAAUUUUCAUGGCAUGUAAAGAGCAAGUGUUGCAGCACUUUUCAAGAAGGGGUGGGUCAUUAGACUUCUCCUCACAAGCGCGGGAUCAGAAAUGGACCAAAGGCUCUAAAACCUAUUCCCGUCAUAAUACGUUGCAAGUUUUGUGGUCGAGUGAAACUACCUCAUUUUUUCUGCUGCAGUGGACUUAGGGACACAGACGCAACCAAUGGUUCAACCAGUUCACCACAGGUAAGUAGAAUUGGGUUCUCCAAACCAUCAUGGACAGAGAACUAGACAUGACCUAAUGGGUCCACAUUCUGAUUACAUAUUCAGUUUACUAAAUCGAACGGCUCUUUGUAUCUCAGUAGGAUCAUGAAAGAUCGUGAUUUCUCACCUUCUCCCUGACCAAUUGUGACUUGAGUUAAUUAGAAUUUUGAUCGGCUCGGUUAACAUUAAAGAUCGAACGAGCCGAGCCUUAACGAGUUACGAGCCCGAGCCCGAGCCUGAAAUAGAGCUCGUUUUGUUAUCGAGCCCGAGCUCGGGCCUGAAAUACAAAGCUCGUUUAGGCUAACGAGCCUAAACGAGCCCACACAAAAUUUUAGUUUUUUAUAUAUAAUAUAAUAAUAAUGAUGAUAAUGCUGAUGAGCCGAGCUCGAGCCGAGCUUUGGUUCGUUUAAGCGAGCUCUAGCCGAACUUGUCGCUCGUUUAAAGUUGUUCUCAAAAUAGUUCGAGCCGAGCUCGAGCUUUGGGUUUUACUCGCGAGCCGAGCUCGAGCUCAAAGAAAUAGGCUCGAGCCGAGCUCAAGCUCAAAGAAGUAGGCUUGAACCGAGCCGAGCUCGAGCUUCAUAAAAACAUAACAAGCCGAGCUCGAGCUUCGUCGAGCUCGGGCUCGGCCCGGCUCGUUUACACCCCUAACAUCUUCGUUCAUGAGUUGUUAUAUUUAAAGGUCUUCAGAAAACAAAGGUUUGCAAAUUAUAUGUUUCAAUCUGCACUCUUUUUUGUCAUGUCCCGUUUUGACCUGAACCCAAAUGAUUAUAUAAUUUUUUUUUAAAUCUAACUCGAGCCCAUUUUAAUCCAUCACCCCACCCAACUCAACCCGUUAAGCCCUUCCAGUUAUAUUUGAUGAAUUAGAUAGAUGAACUCAACAACUAAAUGUUGAUCUUUAGUUUUUUAGUUUUGUUUUACGGAAAUUUGUUAAUAUCAUAUUACAAACACAAGAUUGUUAUAGGCAUGGAGUUUUACUAUUUACCUUAAUGUUGUAUCAUUCUAAAAUUUUAAAUCCAUGACAUGUAGGUGACGAGAACCUCAUACAAGGUAAGAUAUGCUGACUGAUAAGAUGCAUAAAAACCAAAGCCAACACCUUUUGUAGCAAGACUUUUGUCUUUUAAUAUGAAUAAAAGCAUAGGCUGCUACAAGUCCUACUUUUUUCAGGUAAUUUUCUGUUAUAAAACUGCAACAUAAAGGCACAUGUUUUUAGUGAUAGGGAAACAUCAUCACUCUGGUUUGCUGAAUGGUAUCAUUAUCAUCGGAUGUGUAUGUAUCUUUUCAUUGGCAUAAGUAAAAUGUUCAAACCGAGAUUGAUUCGAUUUAGCGCGCGCCGCAACACGCGUGUCUGUAACUAUAAACCUAGUUUAAUUUAUUUCUCAUAUUUCAUUUUUUGUUAUUGAUUUAUGUUUUUUAUUUAUGGCAUCUGGUUGUAUGUUUGUAAUUACGCUGAACAUAUGUUCUUGUGAUCCCUAGCAUUCGCGCCGGAGGUGUUGGAGUGAAUCUUCAAGCUGCGGAUACAGUCAUCAUUUUUUACACAGAUUGCAAUCCACAGGCAAUACAUAUAUGGAGGAUUAUCUGUGUUUUGUUUUUGUAGGAUGAGCCCCUAUGUGUUGCUGCCAGACAAGAUGGGAAGGUAUUAGUCUCUGGUCUAUGGGUUGAUCACAGUUUUGAUGUCGGAGCGCACGUGGAUACAACCUCGGUAAUGUACGUACCGGUGAGAGAUUUGAAUGGGAUUCCAGGUGCAACGUCACUAGUUAUAUGUUUGACAGGAUAUCAACGUGAAGAUCGAGAGGACAUUAUGGUAAUGUCAAAAGAAGUUGAGUAUAGUUAGUUGGCUGAUGUAGCGACAAUAAGUAGUAAGUGCAGG